AAGAACAGACCAAUGCUAUUAGUAGAAACGGUGGCGAUCCGUAAUGGAGAUUUUGGAAUUAUUCUUUGCAAUUUAUGAUUCAUGCAGAGAGAAGUAUGAGAGCGGUCACCAGCCUGAUAUCAAUGGCCAGAGUUAAAUGCAUUUUCGAGACGUCAUCUAACAAAGUGCGCCUCUGCUGUUCGUUAGGCGCAUUUUCGCGGUGGUAACGAUAAAAUGUGCCUGGUUCAUGCCCAUUGUACUUUCCGAUCGGACGCUCUCUGUUGAAGUGUCGCAAGGUCUAACCUUAGUGGAUUGACGAGUAAUUUGCAAGACUUCUCGAAGGAAAAUAUAUGACUUUUAUGGAUAAAACGUAACGGUACAGCAAGCUAAGAGUGCUUAUCGUCAAUUCGUGACAUAUCUAUCAUUGGAAGACAACGUUUUCAACAUGUCGUUACCUGCCGUGAAUAAGUCACGAAGCGUUACCUGCUGGAUCUUUGUACCAUUAUUUAUAGGGCUACAUGUAGGUUGGUACACGCUACAACAAACUUACGUACCGCCAAAUGAAAGACACGAUCAUCCAUUGAUCAAAUAUUUUAAGAGAUAUACUAAAUAGAAAUAUCUGUAGGGUAUAUCGUGUUAUAUAGGGUGUACUCUCAAGAGCACACUAUCAGUGAAAUUUGUUGCACGCAUGGACGUAAGAAUAUAUUGACGGAGCGAAUUGUGGGGUGAAACCCAAUGAGUGAGGGGAAUGAUUGUAUAUAUUAUAAUGGAGUUGUCAUACCAUGAUGGCGACGGUCACUGUUUUUAUACAUAGACAAUAGAUACAAACCUCCGACAUCAUGAUAGCCGCGACGAUGUAACCUCUUAUCUCUUGGGCUUCACAGCCCCUCGUCUAUAAUCGCACUUUGCGCUCCGUCUAUGUUAACACAUCAUUCUAUCUAUGUUGUAUAUAUGUAGAAAGACUGAAUGACACGUAGCGACGAUAUAGCGCGCUUUCCGAACGCACCCAUAAUAGUUGUGAUAGAAUGAUUUAUUUUAUACAAAACUCUUUAUUGUAAGAGAUAUACAUAUGAACUGCACGCGUUUGCUUCUACGUGUAGAUAUAAACGCAAAUCUAAAUCAUUGAAAUUGAAAUAAAAUAAAUUUGAAAAUUUCCUCUUAAAAAAGGAAAUGUGCGAAUAAA